GAAAAAAAAAAAAAAAGAAACCCUCCAUCCUUCUUCCCCUCUCACUGCACGUAGAAAAGGAAAAGAAAAACUCUCAAGCCUCUUUUGCUCCAGCCGUCGCAUAGCCGCCGCGCAGCCACCACCGGCGUUCUCCUCCGGCCGCCACCACCGCACGACCACCGUGCCCCGCGGCCGACCACCGUUCUCCACCUCCGCAGUCAACCACCACCGGCGUGCUGCACCAUCGUUGCUUCUUGCUCUCCCUCCUCACGUCAAUCCCCUUUAUUCUUUGCUUGCUUCACCACCAACCGUCGACCACCUCGUGCACCGUCGCCCACGACAGCAGCCAGCCCAACCGCAACCGCUCGCGCCGCCGUGCCUCUGACCGCCGGCCGCCCACUCUUCUCUCCUUAUUUGGCGGAUAAUUCUCUCUAGGCGACUUUUGAAAGUGUUAAGGUGGCCUAUCAGUUUGUUUACACAAGGUACGUACAUACCUGUGUGCUUGGAACGUGUGCUAAUUGUUGAAACCAUGUUGAAUCUUGUUGUUGAACUUGGUUAUGUUGAUAUUAUUGUUGAACUUGGUGAUGUUGAUAUUAUGGACGAACUGGGUUAUAUUGAAUGUGCAUGUUUAAUACUGUUGGACAAACUUAUUGAACUUAUUUUGCACUAUAAGAACUGUAACAUGUUAGUAUGGAUGUUUGAUACAAACAUGUUGGUUGGGAACACUAGAUUAUUCUAUAUGAUUGGGUUGGAUCAAUUGGUUGUUGUUCCCUUUCUAUCUUUUCACUACUUUAUAAGGGCGGAGGACCUUGUUUAGUAAGUUGAAACUUUAUGCCCAUAUACAGGGUUGCUCAUGGUUAAAGGAAAGGUUGGUUAAGUUGGAAUGAGUCUUGAUUGAUGCUUUUAUGAUCACUUACUUAAUUCCAAGAUAAAAACAGUUGUGAACAAAUGUGAAUUGUCUGUCUUAUGUAAUGGUUGAGUCAUAACGGAAUCUCAAUUUGUAAAUCAUGUAAAGUGAAACUGAAUAGCAAUAGCUUUAGACUGUGCACGUCUGAAGUGACGGACAAACAGGAGUUGGGGUUCAUGGUG